rnacentral:lncRNA from 1 species
UAAAAUAAAAAAAAAUACGAACAUUUAUACUUAAGGAAAAAUACUUUUUUUAAUGCAUAUAAAUCAUUGAAUUUUGAGACCCAUGAUUUUGAGCCUUCUUUCUCGGCUUAACUUUUGAGAGUCCAUAUGCAUUAGCCCAAUUUUAUGGGAGAAAAUUGUGGCUUUUUGGAUACCAAUAAGAACAUAAGAGUUCGAUUGAAGGGAAAGAUAUGGGAAAAAUAUAGAAAAAGAACAUUUGCCCGGAUUUCAAGAGAGAGAAUUGUGGAUUUCAUGAGAACAAUGGGAGACAUACUGUUUGAUGAAGAGGAAAAUGGGAAAGUGGAGCUUCAAACUUGCAUAAGCACCUUCCAUUCAGAGAAAGUGUGGUUCGAC